UGGCGACAAUAGCGACUGUGAACCACCUGAUCCCAUCUCGAACUCAGAAGUGAAACCAGUUAGCGCCGAUGGUAGUGCGGGAUUACCCGUGUGAGAGUAGGACAUCGCC
rnacentral:rRNA from 1 species